GGUCAGGGCUCAGCUGGAUCCCAGACUCAGACAGGAGCCCGAGGUGGACCCCUGGCCAGGGUGAGGUAGAAAGGAAACUUCUCCCACUACCUUCUCCAGAGUCCCCAUGACCCUAAGGUCACAUGUGGCUUUGAACAUCACUAACAUAGCAGCUCCAUAAAGAAUGCUCCCGCCGCAGCAGGAGAAAAAGGAGAAAAGUCACAUGCACUGCUGUUCUGC
rnacentral:lncRNA from 1 species